UGCGUAAAUAUAUGGAGGAACACCAGAGGCGUAGGCGGCUUGCUGGGUCUUUACUGACGCUGAGGCACGAAAGCGUGGGGAGCAAACAGGAUUAGAUACCCUGGUAGUCCACGCCGUAAACGAUGAGUACUAAGUGUCGGGUAAAACUGGUACUGAAGUUAACACAUUAAGUACUCCGCCUGAGUAGUACGUACGCAAGUAUGAAACUUAAAGGAAUUGACGGGACUCCGCACAAGCGGUGGAUCAUGUUGUUUAAUUCGAAGAUACACGAAAAACCUUACCAGGUCUUGACAUUUUCUUGCGAAGUUAUAGAAAUAUAAUGGAGGUUAUCAGGAAAACAGGUGGUGCAUGGUUGUCGUCAGCUCGUGUCGUGAGAUGUUAGGUUAAGUCCUAAAACGAGCGCAACCCUUGUCGUUAAUUGCCAGCAUGUAAUGAUGGGGACUUUAACGAGACUGCCAAUGAAAAAUUGGAGGAAGGUGGGGAUUACGUCAAAUCAUCAUGCCCCUUAUGAUCUGGGCUACAAACGUGAUACAAUGGUUGAUACAAAGAGUAGCUGAAACGCGAGUUCUUAGCCAAUCUCAAAAAAACAAUCUCAGUUCGGAUUGAAGUCUGCAACUCGACUUCAUGAAGUUGGAAUCGCUAGUAAUCGCGAAUCA
rnacentral:rRNA from 1 species